rnacentral:rRNA from 1 species
AUUGAACGCUGGCGGCAUGCCUUACACAUGCAAGUCGAACGGUAACAGGUCUUCGGAUGCUGACGAGUGGCGAACGGGUGAGUAAUACAUCGGAACGUGCCCGAGAGUGGGGGAUAACGAGGCGAAAGCUUUGCUAAUACCGCAUACGAUCUCAGGAUGAAAGCAGGGGACCGCAAGGCCUUGCGCUCACGGAGCGGCCGAUGGCAGAUUAGGUAGUUGGGGGGAUAAAAGCUUACCAAGCCGACGAUCUGUAGCUGGUCUGAGAGGACGACCAGCCACACUGGGACUGAGAAACGGCCCAGACUCCUACGGGAGGCAGCAGUGGGGAAUUUUGGACAAUGGGCGCAAGCCUGAUCCAGCCAUGCCGCGUGCAGGAUGAAGGCCUUCGGGUUGUAAACUGCUUUUGUACGGAACGAAAAGACUCUGGUUAAUACCUGGGGUCCAUGACGGUACCGUAAGAAUAAGCACCGGCUAACUACGUGCCAGCAGCCGCCGUAAGAC